AUUGAACGCUGGCGGCAGGCCUAACACAUGCAAGUCGAACGGUAGCACAGAGAGCUUGCUCUCGGGUGACGAGUGGCGGACGGGUGAGUAAUGUCUGGGAAACUGCCCGAUGGAGGGGGAUAACUACUGGAAACGGUAGCUAAUACCGCAUAAUGUCGCAAGACCAAAGAGGGGGACCUUCGGGCCUCUUGCCAUCGGAUGUGCCCAGAUGGGAUUAGCUAGUUGGUGGGGUAAUGGCUCACCAAGGCGACGAUCCCUAGCUGGUCUGAGAGGAUGACCAGCCACACUGGAACUGAGACACGGUCCAGACUCCUACGGGAGGCAGCAGUGGGGAAUAUUGCACAAUGGGCGCAAGCCUGAUGCAGCCAUGCCGCGUGUAUGAAGAAGGCCUUCGGGUUGUAAAGUACUUUCAGCGGGGAGGAAGGCAAUGCGGUUAAUAACCGUGUUGAUUGACGUUACCCGCAGAAGAAGCACCGGCUAACUCCGUG
rnacentral:rRNA from 1 species